CAGCCUCCUGGAGAAAAUUAUGCCAAUCCAAGGACAUGCUUCUUUCAUGUUCUCUUCAAGGCUGCAGCUUUGGCAUUUUACAUACUUUCUGCACUGUUUAUUGAUAAUUUUGUUAUCAUAUUUGUGGUGACUGUUCUUCUUGCUGCUCUUGAUUUUUGGGUGGUCAAGAAUGUGAGUGGUCGUAUUUUAGUUGGUCUUAGGUGGUGGAAUGAAAUAAAUGAUCUUGGCGAGAGCGUGUGGAAAUUUGAAUCCCUCGAACAAGAGUCAUUGGCCCGGCUGAACAAGAAGGAUUCGUGGUUAUUCUGGUGGACUCUUUACUUAACGGCCGUUGCAUGGGUUGUGCUUGGAAUUUUUUCUCUCAUAAGGUUUCAAGCAGACUACUGCCU
rnacentral:misc_RNA from 1 species